rnacentral:rRNA from 1 species
UACGUAGGGUGCGAGCGUUGUCCGGAAUUAUUGGGCGUAAAGGGCUCGUAGGCGGUUUGUCGCGUCGGGAGUGAAAACUCAGGGCUUAACCCUGAGCCUGCUUCCGAUACGGGCAGACUAGAGGUAUGCAGGGGAGAACGGAAUUCCUGGUGUAGCGGUGAAAUGCGCAGAUAUCAGGAGGAACACCGGUGGCGAAGGCGCCACUCUGGGCCGGUACUGACGCUGAGGAGCGAAAGCGUGGGGAGCGAACAGG